GAGUUUGAUCUUGGCUCAGAUUGAACGCUGGCGGCAUGCCUUACACAUGCAAGUCGAACGGCAGCACGGGAGCUUGCUCCUGGUGGCGAGUGGCGAACGGGUGAGUAAUGCAUCGGAACGUAUCCUGGAGUGGGGGAUAACGUAGCGAAAGUUACGCUAAUACCGCAUAUUCUGUGAGCAGGAAAGCGGGGGACCUUCGGGCCUCGCGCUCUUGGAGCGGCCGAUGUCGGAUUAGCUAGUUGGUGAGGUAAAGGCUCACCAAGGCGACGAUCCGUAGCAGGUCUGAGAGGAUGAUCUGCCACACUGGAACUGAGACACGGUCCAGACUCCUACGGGAGGCGGCAGUGGGAAUUUUGGACAAUGGGGCAACCCUGAUCCAGCCAUGCCGCGUGAGUGAAGAAGGCCUCGGUU
rnacentral:rRNA from 1 species